GGUCAAGACACCUCGGAUAUCCCCUCCUGAAUACAUGCCCGUUUCAAUCGGUUGUAUUUCAUAUCGAAAUGAUUCGAAUGAACGGUACAUAUUUUUGCACCGGCUAAUCGAGUGAUUCCGUUUAUUAAAAUUACACCAUAAAUACCCGGUAAAACCGCGAAAAUUUACCCGCGCAAUAUUUUAUCUCUCUAGUACUUUCCCGAGACAUUGUGCCCUCUUUGUAAACCGUCAGGGGUAAAAUAUCGUGGGGAUCAAUAAUCGCUGGCACACCGGCACUUUUAUUAACUUUUUUUUUCUAGGUCAAUUGUUUGUCCGGUGUCAUUUUGUUUUGUUUAUUUUUUUACUAUUAUUAACAAUUUUUUUUUUUGGAUGUCGUCCAUAACGUGUUUAGAAUACGACCCCGACCUUAAAACCAGCGGGUGGACCGCAUCACAGAGGCCCCCGGACGCUUAACUCGCAGGUAGGGAUAGGGGGAGGGACUGAAGAUUUU